AACAAACACACACAAAUUCCUAUCCUCAUGUUCAUAUGAGUAGGAAAAGCAAAUAAUGUGGUAAAUAAAAUAUAAAAGUUUGUUAGUAGUUACUUCUAAAAAGAAAAUUAAUACAGAAAGGGCCUCUGGAUAGAACAUGCCAGUGAUAGUCGAAUUGCAACUCAGGUGCAGGAUCAAACUAGAGAGAUGUUCUCCUUGUCUUGCCUCCUCCUAAAAUUGUGCUCCAGGAAAGUGUGAGGACAUAGCAAGGAGGAAGCUGUCUGCAAGCCCAGAAGAGACCCCUCACCACACCAUGCUGGCAUCCUAACCUCAAACUUCCAGACUCCAGAACGUUGGAAAAAUAAAUUCCUGUCAUUACAUCCACCUAGUCUAUGGUAUUUUGUAUGGCAGCUGAUUAGACACUGGCACUUCUGCUUUUGUUCUUAGCCUAUAAUACUGCUAUUGAACACUACUCCCACACAUUCUGUGGAAUACCUGUUCAUAGCAGGAGUUCUACUCCUGGUGACCCAGAUCACUACACCAAUCCUGGCAUUGGGUUUCAAUGUUAUAGCUCAUUACAUUUCACUCUCAAAUGCUCAGCUUAUACUCCCACAGCAGUGAAAUUGACUCUAGAAAAGACUGCCAG
rnacentral:lncRNA from 10 species